rnacentral:rRNA from 1 species
UACGAAGGGGGCUAGCGUUGCUCGGAAUCACUGGGCGUAAAGGCGCGUAGGCGGAUCGUUAAGUCGGGGGUGAAAUCCUGGAGCUCAACUCCAGAACUGCCUUCGAUACUGGCGAUCUUGAGUCCGGAAGAGGUGAGUGGAACUCCUAGUGUAGAGGUGGAAUUCGUAGAUAUUAGGAAGAACACCAGUGGCGAAGGCGGCUCACUGGUCCGGUACUGACGCUGAGGUGCGAAAGCGUGGGGAGCAAACAGGAGU